AUUGAACGCUGGCGGCAGGCUUAACACAUGCAAGUCGAGCGGUAACAGAGAGAAGCUUGCUUCUCUGCUGACGAGCGGCGGACGGGUGAGUAAUGCCUAGGAAUCUGCCUAGUAGUGGGGGAUAACUUGCCGAAAGGUAAGCUAAUACCGCAUACGUCCUACGGGAGAAAGGAGGGGACCUUCGGGCCUUUCGCUAUUAGAUGAGCCUAGGUCGGAUUAGUUAGUUGGUGAGGUAAUGGCUCACCAAGACCGCGAUCCGUAACUGGUCUGAGAGGAUGAUCAGUCACACUGGAACGGAGACACGGUCCAGACCCCUACGGGAGGCAGCAGUGGGGAAUAUUGGACAAUGGGGGGAACCCUGAUCCAGCCAUGCCGCGUGUGUGAAGAAGGUCUUAGGAUUGUAAAGCGCUUUAAGUUGGGAGGAAGAGCAGUUAACUAAUAUUUGACUGUUUUGACGUUACCGACAGAAUAAGCACCGGCUAACUUCGUGCCAGCCGCCGCCGUAA
rnacentral:rRNA from 1 species